rnacentral:rRNA from 1 species
GAACGCUGGCGGCAGGCCUAACACAUGCAAGUCGAGCGGUAGAGAGGUGCUUGCAUCUCUUGAGAGCGGCGGACGGGUGAGUAAUGCUAGGAAUCUGCCUAGUGGUGGGGGAUAACGUUCGGAAACGGACGCUAAUACCGCAUACGUCCUACGGGAGAAAGCGGGGGAUCUUCGGACCUCGCGCCAUUAGAUGAGCCUAGGUCGGAUUAGCUAGUUGGUGAGGUAAUGGCUCACCAAGGCGACGAUCCGUAACUGGUCUGAGAGGAUGAUCAGUCACACUGGAACUGAGACACGGUCCAGACUCCUACGGGAGGCAGCAGUGGGGAAUAUUGGACAAUGGGCGAAAGCCUGAUCCAGCCAUGCCGCGUGUGUGAAGAAGGUCUUCGGAUUGUAAAGCACUUUAAGUUGGGAGGAAGGGUAGUAACCUAAUACGUUGCUACUUUGACGUUACCGACAGAAUAAGCACCGGCUAACUUCGUG